rnacentral:rRNA from 1 species
GACGAACGCUGGCGGCGUGCUUAACACAUGCAAGUCGAACGGAAAGGCCCUGCUUUUGUGGGGUGCUCGAGUGGCGAACGGGUGAGUAACACGUGAGUAACCUGCCCUUGACUUUGGGAUAACUUCAGGAAACUGGGGCUAAUACCGGAUAGGAGCUCCUGCUGCAUGGUGGGGGUUGGAAAGUUUCGGCGGUUGGGGAUGGACUCGCGGCUUAUCAGCUUGUUGGUGGGGUAGUGGCUUACCAAGGCUUUGACGGGUAGCCGGCCUGAGAGGGUGACCGGCCACAUUGGGACUGAGAUACGGCCCAGACGCCUACGGGAGGCAGCAGUGGGCAAUAUUGCACAAUGGGCGGAAGCCUGAUGCAGCAACGCCGCGUGCGGGAUGACGGCCUUCGGGUUGUAAACCGCUUUCGCCUGUGACGAAGCGUGAGUGACGGUAAUGGGUAAAGAAGCACCGGCUAACUACGUG